GGCGCCUUAGCUCAGUUGGUAGAGCACGCGACUGAAAAUCGCGGUGUCCCCAGUUCGAGUCUGGGAGGUGCCA
rnacentral:tRNA from 1 species